rnacentral:rRNA from 1 species
UACUAGAGUAGCACUCGCAUAUCAAUAAGCGGAGGAAAAGAAACUAACAAGGAUUCCCCUAGUAACGGCGAGUGAAGCGGGUAAGAGCUCAAAUUUGAAAUCUUAAAGGGUUUCCCUUUACGAAUUGUAGUUUAAAGAAGUGUUUUCUGUUGGAGCUUUCGGUAAAAGUUCUUUGGAAUAGGACAUCGAUAGGAGGGUGAGAAUCCCGUAUUUGACCAUUACUUCCAACGUUGUGAUACACUUUCAAAGAGUCGGAUUGUUUGGGAAUGCAGUCCAAAAUGGGUGGUAAAUUUCAUCUAAAGCUAAAUAUUGGCGAGAGACCGAUAGCGAACAAGUACCGUGAGGGAAAGAUGAAAAGAACCUUGAAAAGAGAGUUAAACAGUACGUGAAAUUGUCAAAAGGGAAGCGUUUGACACCAGUGUUGUUUUUUCCGGAAAUCAAUUAUGAAUGGCUUGAUUUUUAAGUUUCAUGACCUUAAAAGCUUGUUUCUUAUUUUUCAUGUCUUUCGUAAUGCACUUUUCGGUUAACAAGUCAACAUCAAUUUCUUUUGUUGUAAAAGGUUAAGAGGAAGGUGGCCUUACUUUCGGGUAAAGUGUUUAUAGCCUUUUAACUCUGCAAUCGGAGAGAUUGAGGUCUGCAGCGUAGAUCCUUCGGGGUUAGAUACAUUUGUGCUAAGUUAUAGCUUUUCAUAGACAACUUGUUGACUAUGUUAAGUCUUGUAAUUUACUCGCAGAUGCUAUUUUACCUACGCUUAGGAUGUUGAUAGUCACAGCGUGUAC